rnacentral:rRNA from 1 species
UACAGAGGUCUCAAGCGUUGUUCGGAAUCACUGGGCGUAAAGGGUGCGUAGGCUGCGGAGAAAGUCUGGUGUGAAAUUUACGAGCUCAACUCGUAACUAGCACCUGAUACUACUUUGCUAGAGAUCUGGAGAGGAGCUUGGAAUUCUCGGUGUAGCAGUGAAAUGCGUAGAUUUCGAGAAGAACGCUCGCUGCGAAAGCGAAGCUCUGGCCAGAUUCUGACGCUGAGGCACGAAGGCUAGGGGAGCAAACGGG